rnacentral:lncRNA from 1 species
AACUUCCCAUUGCAAGGUUUCGGGUAAAAAUGUGUCCCCCAUUGCAGGGUGGCUAUAAAAGUGAAAAUGUAUAGGGAUAUGGAGGCGACCCUGAAUACUGGUGGCAGAGGGCAGCGGGAUGGCAUUUUUAAGGAGCACAGAGGCUGACGGGUGUGAAAACUGAGCACGACAAGACCAACUUUCCUUGAUUUGCUCAAUUGCAGGCAAUUCUAGUUCUAAGGUGGUGCCAUCUUUGGAGCUGCGCUGUUGGCUAUACUCAGCUUGGUUAGUUGAUCUCUCUGCUCGUCCUUGUGGGCUGAGUUUUCCAACUUCUUCAUCCUUAUUAUUUUUUAAUUCAAUAAUAAAAUGCUAUGAAGCACGACUUGGAUAUUUUUAUACUUCUGCGUGCUUGACUGUUUCUCUUCUUUUUUCCAAAUCCCUUUGGGUAUAGGGCCCCUUGUAUUCUCUGUUGGGGUAUCUGGGCUGGUCUUCUGCUCAGACUGCAAGGCCAGUUCUUGGAGUAGACAGUGGGAGGGCAGCUCAUUCUGAUUUAUGAGGACAUGAUCUGGGAUGGAGCUCUUCUGAAAAAUUUCAACUCUUUUACUGUCAGAAUCUUCUAGAAGGAAAUAAUUGAAAUCAGGAAUAAGUAGAACAGGCCACCUCUUGGCUCUUUAGUCUCUUUUCGGUCUUCUAACUCACGCAGUUGAAGUGCCAAGUCUCCACUCCCAGCUGCCAUGGACAUGCUAGCUGGCUUAGUGCUCGAAGCCUCAUGGAAGGAGAGGCUUCUUGUUAUAAAUUGAG